UAAGAGGUCCAGCCUGCCCAGUGACUAAUGUUCAACGGCCGCGGUAUCCUAACCGUGCGAAGGUAGCGUAAUCACUUGUUCUUUAAAUGAGGACUAGUAUGAACGGCACCACGAGGGUUAUACUGUCUCCUCUCUCUAAUCAGUGAAACUAAUCUCCCCGUGAAGAAGCGGGGAUAAAACUAUAAGACGAGAAGACCCUAUGGAGCUUUAAACUUAUCCUCAAACGCCAAAAAUCACAUAUCAAGUUUCAAACUUCACCACAUGAACUCUCGCGCCAUGAGGACAAUUUUAGGUUGGGGUGACCAUGGAGUAUAGAAUAACCUCCAUGCUGAAUAGGCCUCCAAGCCUUGAGCCAAGGGCUACGACCCAUCGCACUAAAAUAUUAACAUCCAUUGAUCCA
rnacentral:rRNA from 1 species